rnacentral:rRNA from 1 species
AGAGUUUGAUCCUGGCUCAGGAUGAACGCUGGCGGCGUGCCUAACACAUGCAAGUCGAGCGAGAAACCAAUUUGAGAAGUUUUCGAACCAAUCUGUUUGGUGGAAAGCGGCGGACGGGUGAGUAACGCGUAGGCAACCUGCCCAUGACAGAGGGAUAGCCUCGGGAAACCGGGAUUAAAACCUCAUAACGCGAGAGAAUCACAUGGUUCACUCGCCAAAGAUUUAUCGGUCAUGGAUGGGCCUGCGUCUGAUUAUGUUAGUUGGUGAGGUAACGGCUCACCAAGACUACGAUCAGUAACCGACCUGAGAGGGUAAUCGGUCACAUUGGAACUGAGACACGGUCCAAACUCCUACGGGAGGCAGCAGUGGGGAAUAUUGCACAAUGGGCGAAAGCCUGAUGCAGCAACGCCGCGUGAGUGAAGACGGUCCUAUGGAUUGUAAAGCUCUGAUCUGAGGGAAGAAACAAAUGACGGUACCUCAGGAGAAAGCCCCGGCUAACUACGUGCCAGCAGCCGCGGUAAUACGUACGGGGCAAGCGUUAUCCGGAUUUAUUGGGCG